CAGUGGCCGAGUGGUUAACGCGAUGGCAUUUGAAGCGAAAGGUACUGGGUUUGAGUCCCAGAAUGAA
rnacentral:tRNA from 11 species